GUACACUCCUACGGGAGGCAGCAGUGGGGAAUUUUGGACAAUGGGCGAAAGCCUGAUCCAGCAAUGCCGCGUGAGUGAAGAAGGCCUUCGGGUUGUAAAGCUCUUUUGUCAGGGAAGAAACGGUGAAAGCUAAUAUCUUUUGCUAAUGACGGUACCUGAAGAAUAAGCACCGGCUAACUACGUGCCAGCAGCCGCGGUAAUACGUAGGGUGCAAGCGUUAAUCGGAAUUACUGGGCGUAAAGCGUGCGCAGGCGGUUUUGUAAGUCUGAUGUGAAAUCCCCGGGCUCAACCUGGGAAUUGCAUUGGAGACUGCAAGGCUAGAAUCUGGCAGAGGGGGGUAGAAUUCCACGUGUAGCAGUGAAAUGCGUAGAUAUGUGGAGGAACACCGAUGGCGAAGGCAGCCCCCUGGGUCAAGAUUGACGCUCAUGCACGAAAGCGUGGGGAGCAAACAGGAUUAGAAACCCUAGUAGUCCCA
rnacentral:rRNA from 1 species